ensembl:lincRNA
UAGAACGUAAGUGGGUGGCUUGGCAGGUGGACGGAGCGCUGAGGAUGGACAGGUUGCUGGAUGCACACGGACCUCAGGCUGGGAUGGCGUGGACGUGGUCAUCGAUCGCCUGGCCUUUGGGGGUGGACACCCAGGAAAGUGGCCCUUGUUUUAUGACCUUAUAUCACAGCAUGCUGCAGAUGGAAGACUGUAAUUGUGCAGGUUUUUGUCUUUUUCUUUUUUUUGCCCUGAGACAAAAAUGUGCUUUUUGUUUAAUCACGGUCAUAAUUCUCGGCUGGCAUCUGCUUCGGUGGGAAGAAAGUUGUAUCAGAAAAACAAAAAAGAAAGAGAAGAAACCCUCUUCACAGACUUUUAUGUCCCUGUGUGAUCCAGCAUCUCUCAGUGGGGUUUGUGGAACAUGUUCCUCAUGUUUCCUUUACAUUUUUAAAAUUAAUUAAGUAUUUUGAGCCAGGGUCUCGCUACGGAGCCCAGGCUGGCAUUGAACUCAUCGCAGUGUUCCUGCCUCAGCCUCCCAAGAGCUGGGGUGAUGGGUGUGUGUCACUGCACCCAUUGCUUUUGAAGCGUUUGAGAAGAUGCGUCUUUUGAGAAGAUGUGUGUUUCUAAAGCUUUGUGUAAAGUGUUUCUAAAUUAGCUAGAGAAAGCCUCUGUUACAAUAUUUCAAAUAAAAUGCAGUUCAUUUCCUUCCUACACGUUUUAAUUUUACUCAGUUACAGAGUUCCUUUUCCUAGGCAACCUCCAGGGGCGUGGCCAGGCAUGCCUGUCACCCGAGCACUGGGGAGGCUGAGGCAGGAGGAUCUGAAGUUCGAGACCAUCCUGGGGAACUGAGUGACUUAGCAAGACCCUAUCUCAAAAUAGGAACUAGAAGGGGCCUGCGGUGUGAAGGUCACACGUUCCAUCCUCAGUUUUGCAAGAAAAAACAAAAGAAAAGAAAUGGCAACCCUGACGUGUGGGCAGCUGGGCAGGGUCUUGGUGCUGCUCACUUUGGGGACCCCGCUGCGUGAGUCCCCAAGCCGUGGUCAGUAUGGAGCCCAGGCUGCCCUUGAACUCCCGGUAAUCCUCCCGCCUCAGCCUCCUGAGUGCUGGGCUAACAGGCAUGCGCCACCACACCGGGCUUAUUUUUGUUUUUUUUUUUCUGUCUUUUUUUGAGACAGGGUCUCACUCUGCAGGUCAGGCUGGCCUUGAGCUCACUUUGUAGCCCAGGCGGGCCUCGAACUCGCAACGAUCCUCCUGCCUCAGCCUCCCGAGUGCUGGGAGGACAGGCGUGUGCCACCAUGCCCUGCUGUUUUUUUUUUUUUUUUUUAAAUUUUGGUUUUUCGAUGCUUUUUCUUCCUCUUUGGAGAUGAUGGUGCCGCUUUGUCUUUUACUUGGUUAAUGCAGUCGGCAGCGCUGAUGGAUCUUGGGAGGAAGCGCUUUAUUGCGGUGUAAUUCAGCAGCGCAGCGUUCUCCAGCGCGAAAUGCAGCUCCAGCGGUUUUUUUAUUUAUGCUCAGAGCUGAGCCCGCACCACCCGGUCGAUUCAGAGUGUGUUCCUCCCCCAGAGGGGAGGGGACUCCUGUUCCUCGGUGUCGCCCUAAGCCUGUCUCCCUGUUCCCCCGACCCCUGGAGGCCACCGACCCGGACCUGUCCCUCCGCUGCGUUUUUUUUGGUCUUUUUGAGACAGGGUCUCGCUGUGCAGCUCAGGCUGGCCUUGAGCUCACUUUGUAGCACAGGCUGGCCUCGAACUCGCAAUGAUCCUCCUGCCUCAGCCUCCCCAGUGCUGUGAUUACAGGUGCGCGCCAC